rnacentral:rRNA from 1 species
UACGUAGGGGGCAAGCGUUAUCCGGAAUCAUUGGGCGUAAAGGGUGCGUAGGCGGUUAUGUAAGUUAGAGGUGAAAGGCUAUGGCUCAACCAUAGUAAGCCUUUAAAACUGCAUAACUUGAGUGCAGGAGAGGAGAGUGGAAUUCCUAGUGUAGCGGUGAAAUGCGUAGAUAUUAGGAGGAACACCAGUGGCGAAGGCGACUCUCUGGACUGUAACUGACGCUGAGGCACGAAAGCGUGGGGAGCGAACAGGAUUAGAUACCCCAGUA